rnacentral:lncRNA from 1 species
GUGAUUUUCUCUCACGCUGGUUGAAAAGAAUCCUCUGCUUUACAGACUGUAGUCUCAUAUUUCUGGAUCUCAUUAAAUCUCCAGCAUUCACAGAUUGAGGUAGUGAGGAAAGGUGAGACACUCUAACUUCUCAGCAAGUGCUACUGAGUGAUAUUUACGCUACUAUUACCGAUUUGGACCAUAAGAAAAACCACGCAUACGUUCAAGAGUCAUAAAUCAGCAGCAUAAUAAUUCCCCAACAUGCACUAAAGACUGAGGCUUGGAGGAUUCAUCGCACAACAAAGGACCUCAGACUGCUGCUCAAAGACCAGCUGUAUUUGUGUCCUGGAACAAGACAGUUCCACUUGUAAGAGCACCGUGUGAAGAUUUGAUUAGUGGAGUAAUAGCACAGUUUUGCUUAAAAUAUUCCAACACACAGCAUUAUGGGUGACACAUCAGAGUUCACAAGAGGACAAAUUGUUGGUGCACGUCUCUCUGGUGCAUCUGUGACCAAGGCAGCAGAUCUUUGUGGUGUAUCAAGAGCCACAGUAUCCAGAGUAACAUCAGCAUACAUCCAAGAAGGACGAACCACAUCCAACAGGAAUAACUGUGGAAGUAAGAGGAAGCUGUCUGAAAGGGAUGUCCGCGUGCUAACCCGGAUUGUAUCUAAAAACCAUGUAACCACAGCUGCCCAAUUCACAGCAGAGUUAAAUGUGCACCUCAAAUCUCCGGUUUCCACCAAAACUGUUCGGCGGGAGCUCCACAGGGUCAAUAUAUAUGGGCAGUUUCCUAUAGCCAAACCUUUGGUUGACUCAUGCGAAUGCCAACCGUCCGUUUCAGUGAAGCCAGGAGAGAAAAUCUUAGGCUGUGGACAAUGUGAAACAUGUAUUGCUCAGGAUUCUGAUACAGAAAGUACUUGAAUCUCAGACUCA